UACGGAGGGUGCAAGCGUUAUCCGGAUUUACUGGGCGUAAAGGGCGCGUUAGGCGGCCCGCUAAGUCGAAACGUGAAAUCCCCCGAGCUCAACUCGGGAACUGCGUCCGAUACUGGCGGGCUUGAAUCCGGGAGAGGGAUGCGGAAUUCCAGGUGUAGCGGUGAAAUGCGUAGAUAUCUGGAGGAACACCGGUGGCGAAGGCGGCAUCCUGGACCGGCAUUGACGCUGAGGCGCGAAAGCUAGGGGAGCAAACGGG
rnacentral:rRNA from 1 species